rnacentral:rRNA from 1 species
UACGUAGGGUGCAGGCGUUAAUCGGAAUUACUGGGCGUAAAGCGUGCGCAGGCGGUCUAUUAAGACAGGUGUGAAAUCCCCGGGCUUAACCUGGGAACUGCGCUUGUAACUGAUAGGCUGGAGUGUGGCAGAGGGGGGUGGAAUUCCACGUGUAGCAGUGAAAUGCGUAGAGAUGUGGAGGAACACCGAUGGCGAAGGCAGCCCCCUGGGCUAACACUGACGCUGAGGCACGAAAGCGUGGGGAGCAAACAGG